GGGGGGUCGGGCAGAGACAGAGACUCGAAACCAUCGCGAAACAUACCUCGUCGUCGUUGCUUCGGCGGGCGGCCCCAGGCGGGGCCGCAGCCCCGAGAGGGGCGCCCGCCGGAGGGACAGAAACACUCUGUUUUCUUCAGCGUCUCCUCUGAGUACGACUAGCUAAAUAAGUCAAAACUUUCAACAACGGAUCUCUUGGUUCUGGCAUCGAUGAAGAACGCAGCGAAAUGCGAUAAGUAAUGUGAAUUGCAGAAUUCAGUGAAUCAUCGAAUCUUUGAACGCACAUUGCGCCCGCCAGUAUUCUGGCGGGCAUGCCUGUUCGAGCGUCAUUUCAACCCCUCAAGCCCAGCUUGGUGUUGGGGCCCCUACGUGCGCCGUAGGCCCCGAAUUCCAGUGGCGGGCUCGCCGCGAUCCCGAGCGUAGUAGUGUUACCUCGCUCAGGGCGCGCGGCGGGCGCCGGCCGUGAAAGAAACCAGUUUUUUACAAGGUUGACCUCGGAUCAGGUAGGAAUACCCGCUGAACUUAAGCAUAUCAAUAAGCCGGGAGGAAA
rnacentral:rRNA from 1 species